GGGUUUGAUCCUGGCUCAGGAUGAACGCUGGCGGCGUGCCUGAUACAUGCAAGUCGAACGGGCCGACUAGACUUGGGCGGUCGAGCGGAGAUAGCGGGCAAGAAAUUGUUCAAAAUCCGAGCGGAGCAAGAAGAGUCGUUGUUGGUCAGUGGCGGACGGGUGAGUAACACGUGGGUCAUCUGCCUCGAGGUGGGGAACAACUAUUCGAAAGGGUAGCUAAUUCCGCAUGUGGUCCGAGAGGAAGAAAGGUCGGAAGACCGCCUUGAGAUGAGCCCGCGGCCGAUUAGCUAGUUGGUGAGGUAAGAGCCCACCAAGGCGACGAUCGGUAGCUGGUCUGAGAGGAUGAUCAGCCACACUGGGAUUGAGAACGGCCCAGACUCCUACGGGAGGCAGCAGUAAGGGAUAUUGCACAAUGGGGGAAACCCUGAUGCAGCAACGCCGCGUGGGUGAAGAAGGCUUUCGAGUCGUAAAACCCUUUUCUAGGGGAAGAGGAAGGACAGUACCCUAGGAACAAGUCUCGGCUAACUACGUGCCAGCAGCCGCGGUAAGACGUAGGAGGCGAGCGUUAUCCGGAUUCAUUGGGCGUAAAGGGCAAGUAGGCGGUUGUCAAAGUUGGGCGUGACAUCUCCUGGCUUAACUAGGAGGGGUCGUUCAAAACUAGGCGACUAGAGGGCAGAAGAGGAAAGCGGAACUCCUGAUGUAGCGGUGGAAUGCUCAGAUAUCAGGAAGAACACCAGUGGCGAAGGCGGCUUUCUGGUCUGCACCUGACGCUGAGAGGCGAAGGCCAGGGUAGCGAACGGGCUUAGAUACCCCGGUAGUCCUGGCAGUAAACGGUGGAUACUAGGUAUCAGGGGUCAAGGCCUUUGGUGCCGAAGCCAACGCGUUAAGUAUCCCGCCUGGGGACUACGGCCGCAAGGUUAAAACUCAAAGGAAUUGACGGGGACCCGCACAAGCAGCGGAGCGUGUGGUUUAAUUCGAUGCAACACGAAGAACCUCACCUGGGUUUGACAUAUACGUAGUAGGGAACCGAAAGGGGACCGACGCUUCGGCGAGCGUAUACAGGUGCUGCAUGGCUGUCGUCAGCUCGUGCCGUGAGGUGUUAGGUUAAGUCCUACAACGAGCGCAACCCUUGUUGCCAGUUACAAGUUACUGGCGAGACUGCUGGCAUAUAACCAGAGGAAGGUGGGGAUGACGUCAAGUC
rnacentral:rRNA from 1 species